UUUUCAUUUCACAAGCUACCAAACAGUGUUUAACGCAACAAGAACUGACCCAAAUUCCCCUGUUUCACUUUGGAAUGGAUCAGAAAUCGAACUACUCUACUGAACUAAAAGUGGAUCUCUGACCCCUGAAAGUUGCUAAAUCCUGAUGCACCCAUAUAACAAAUGAUGCAGUUGCAUGUUAUAUGCUGACUAUAUCUAUAUAUUCAUACUGGAGCACAGAAUUAACCCACUGAAGAUGCUAAUCAGCUGUACAAGUGAUUAGACCUGUCUGGAAUUUCAAGAAGACUGUAUUACGAAGAUAGGAGGACUACACUGUUGUGCAGUCAAAACUCAGGAAAUGUCUAAGAAAAGGCUACUGGUAUAACUGUAACUGAAUGAGAAAACAUGUGGAAAGUCUACUGUGCAUGCCAGCUCUGUUCUGUUCUGGACAUCUCCCUCCAACUGUUCAAAACACAGCCUGGGCAUGGUCUUCAGCUCUGCUGACUUCCAGAACUGCUCCUGGAAAUGAGUGUGGACAAGACUUUGUUUUAUACAUUCUUCCAGCACCGUCCUGUCAGGCUCUACAUCUUCUUAUGUACUCUCAUGCUUCCCGAAGGUGGAGCAGAUACUCUUGGUUUCAUGCUGUAAGAACACUGUUCCAGUGGUCUACAGCACAAUGCUCACACUAUUUUAGUUAGUUUGAAUAGAACCUCCUCCCCUUCAACAGCAAAAGAUAAUACUUUUCUCUCAGGACAAAGAUGCAACUAAUAGGCCAAGAGAAGGCCCAGGGAUAAGCCAUAUAUUGAAGAUGUGGCCAUUCUCCUCUGGAGUGGGUAGGCCUAAGCAGCGGGGAAGUGAGCCAGUCCAUUUGAGUUAGCCUUGGGUCUCUGGAUUAGAGCUCUUUAACUUAGUAGUAUGGACUGUUCCACCAGAAGAACAAACAUUCAUGGUACUAGCACUGAGACACCCAAAAUAUGGCACCUGACAGACUGAGAACAAGAGCAAUCAGG